CUUAUAUUGCAGAACAGUAUCUUACAACUUACUCUUUAGUAGUAUGUAGUACUAAGUUAGUAGUCAUUUUUACAAGACAUGAAGAUAAACAUGUGGCUUUGUUCAUGUGACGUGCUAUAUGUGUUCAUGAGAAACGUUUCUGACACUACAAUGAAGUUAUUUUUCCAAUUCAUUUGCAGGGAAUCCCUGGCCCCACUGGGAAAAAUGGCCGAAAAGGAAGACAGGGUAUUGUCGGAGAUGCUGGUGAGAGAGGACCUCCUGGCCCAGAUGGAAAUGAAGGUCCUGUUGGCAGCACCGGAAUUGGAGGCUUUCCUGGACUGCGGGGUGAUGCAGGGCCCGAAGGAUCCCGUGGCCUAACAGGCAUAGUGGGACCUCAGGUAUGGUCAAGUUUACAUUCAGACUACAGGAUAACCAUUAACCCUUUAACCAUUAACCAGCAAUUAAACUUUGAACCUAAUGACACCCUAAUUUGUCUUCGGCAGGGCCUUACCGGAAGAGCUGGGCCACCAGGAUUGAAAGGUGAUAAGGGUGAUCCUGGAUUAAUGGGUGAGCCAGGAGAAUAUGGUUACCCAGGUGACAAGGUAGGAAAGAUAAUUUUAUUUCUUAUAAUAUAGAAAUUACAAGCAAUUGUAUAUACCCAGCUAUUAUUAUUACAUCUGUAAUAUAUUUACCCCAUUCCAGGCUGACAUCUCAAUGUAGAUAUGAGCAGAAAACAGACAUGUCUGUCCCAGUCACAAUAAAAUUGUUCAGUAAGUUUAAGUGGUAGUUUUA
rnacentral:lncRNA from 1 species